rnacentral:rRNA from 1 species
UACAGAGGUCCCCAAGCGUUGUUCGGAUUCACUGGGCGUAAAGGGUGCGUAGGUGGCGGAUUAAGUCGGGUGUGAAAUCUCCGGGCUCAACCCGGAGGGUGCGCCCGAAACUGGUCUGCUAGAGGAUGGGAGGGGAGACUGGAAUUCUCGGUGUAGCAGUGAAAUGCGUAGAUAUCGAGAGGAACACCGGUGGCGAAGGCGAGUCUCUGGACCAUUCCUGACACUGAGGCACGAAAGCCGGGGGAGCAAACAGGAUUAGAAACCCCGGUAGU